rnacentral:lncRNA from 10 species
AAACGCUGCGAGGAGGUCGCACCAGCAAGUGAGGAAGCAGAAGGGAUGGCUUCCUGCGCCUCCCACACAAUUUUCAACUUUUCAGGAAGUACCAUAGGAGAAGUCAAGGUAGAUGAAUACGUUUUUCUUUGGUCCCUAGCAUUUUUCUUUUAAAAUUUUAUUUUCCUUUUGAAAAAGAAUGUGAGAACAAAGUCUGAGAACGAAUGUGAGAACGAAUCUCGAAACGUGAGAAAAAGGCCUUCUUCCCCCCCUCCACCUCCCCUGCGUGGUCCUUGGGUGCUCUGUGAACGGUGACCCCACCCUCACAGGGACCCUGACUCCUGAGGGGUCACCACUCAUAUCCUGUGAGAGACUACGCUAUUCCCUGAUUCAGCGGGGUCUCCAGGUCUGAACGCCCAAGGCCAACACAGAGGCCUAAAAAUAGAGCCCGGGAGGCCCAGUCAAACCGGAAGAGAGCCAGAGGCCUCCCUGGAGUCCCGAAGACGAUCUGAACCAAGGAGCCCAGCGCCCUCUAGCGGGAGACAAGCUGCUUCGCGGCCCUGGUCUCCGGUCAGAGGCACUGGGCUGGGGCUGAGCACUCCGAGGCGGAAACCAAAGGGUGUGCCCCUGGGGACACCGCCUCAAGACCCCUGACUGAGGCUCCAAAAGGAAAAAUUGUGCCACUUGUGUUUUACGAACUUCAACGUAAUUGUAGGAUACAUUGCUGUAAUGUAUAAUGUUGUAAUAAUGAUUACCUUCUAUAACCACAGAUUUUUAUAUUUAUUUAUUUAUUUAUUUUUGAGACAGAGUCUUGAUCUGCCACCCAGUCUGGAGUGCAGUGGCACGAUCUCAGCUCACUGCAACCUCCGCCUCCCGGGUUCAAGCAAUUCUCUGCCUCAGCCUCCUGAGUAGCUGGAAUUACAGGCGCCUGCCACCAUGCCCAGCUAAUUUUUGUAUUUUUUGUAGAGACGGAGUUUCACCAUCUUGGCCAGGCUGCUCUUGAAUUCCUGACCUCGUGAUCCACCCGCCUCGGCCUCCCAAAGUGCUGAGAUUACAGGCGUCAGCCACCGCGCCUGGCCGACUUUUAUUUCUUUACUUAUUUACUUAUUUAUUUAUUUUCUGAGAUGGGGUCUUGCUCUGUCGCCCAGGCUGGAGUGCAAUGGCGUGAUCUCAGCUCACUGCAACCUCUGCCUACUGGGUUCAAGUGAUUCUCCUGCCUCAGCCUCCCCAGUAGCUGGGAUUACAGGCACGCACCACCAUGCCCGGCUAAUUUUUGUAUUUUUAUUAGAGAUAGGAUUUCACCAUGUUGGCCAGGCUGGUCUCAAACUCUUGACCUCAGGUGAUCCACCCUCCUUGGCCUUCCAAAGUGCUGAGAUUACAGGCGUGAGCCACUGCCCCUGGCCUAGCAUCACAGACUUUAGACCCUUUUCAUUACUUCUCAGUGAGACCAAGGUUCCUAUCACUAAAUUCACAUGCACAUAACAUAUAACCUGGAAGGGUACCCAAGCACCUCCGACAGCUGCACCAAGAUUCCAUCUGGGAAAGCUGUUCUCUGGGGGAACAUACAACUUUGGGAUGGGUGCUCAGGAGCCUUAAUAGCAGAAAAGGACCCCUUGCAAGUCAGAAAAUUUGGCUGAAUCAUUCCAGGCACUCUCUGAGGGGGCAGAUGUCUCUGCUGGCUAAUUGUUCCCCCACCUGAAGACAUCAACUCAGUUUUCCCUAAGUCAGAGAGAAAACAUACUCCUACUGUACAUAUUUCGAGAAAGGAAAUAUACAGCUGAACACUGAAGUGCCCAGUUAGGCUUUGAAGAAAAGGAUUGUGGCCGAAAGACACCAGGCUUUUAAUAAAAGCUAAAAAGCAAAAGUGUAUACCACCUCACACCCAUGCGGAUGGUGACUAUUAAAAAACUAAAGAAAGAAAGAAAAUAAGUGUUGGUGAGGAUGGAGAAAUUGGAACUCUUGUCCUCUGUUAAUGGAAACGUAGAAUGGUACAGCUGCUGUGGAAAGCAGUAUGUCAGUUCCUCAAAAAAUUAAAAAUGGAAUGACCAUUCAAUUCGGCAAUUCCACUUCUUUUUCUUUUUUUUUUUUUUUUGAGACGGAGUCUCGCUUUGUUGCCCAGGCUGGAGUGCAGUGGCACAAUCUUGGCUCACUGCAACCUCUGCCUACCAGGUUCAAACGAUUCCCCUGCUUCAGCCUCCUGAGUAGCUGGGAUUACAGGCACCUGCCACCACGCCCGGCUAAUUUUUGUAUUUUAGUAGAGACGGGGUUUCACCAUGUUGGCAAGGCUGGUCUCAAACUCCUGACCUCAUGUGAUCCGCCUGCCUCGGCCUCCCAAAGCACUGGGAUUACAGGCGUGAGCCACUGCGCCCGGCCCCAAUUCCACUUCUGAGUGUGUAACUACAAAAAUUGAAAGCACAGUCUCAAAGAGAUAGCUGCACACCUUUGUUCAUAGC